rnacentral:rRNA from 1 species
UUCCGGUUGAUCCUGCCGGAGGCUACCGCUAUUGGAGUUCGAUUAAGCCAUGCGAGUCGAGAGUCUUAGGGACUCGGCGUACCGCUCAGUAACACGUGGGUAACCUGCCCUAUGCUGGGGGAUAACCUCGGGAAACUGAGAAUAAUACCCCAUAGUUCACCACGCCUGGAACGGUGGGUGGAUCAAAGCUCCGGCGGCAUAGGAUGGGCCUGCGACGUAUCAGGUUGUAGGGGGUGUAACGUACCCUCUAGCCAUCAACGCGUACGGGUGUUGGGAGACAUAGCCCGGAGAUGGAUUCUGAGACACGAAUCCAGACCCUACGGGGUGCAGCAGGCGCGAAAACUUGGCAAUGCGAGAAAUCGUGACCAGGGAACUCCAAGUGGCUGGGGUAAGACCCAGUCUUUUCUUGACUCUUCAAAGGUCUUGGAAUAAGAGGUGGGUAAGGACGGUGCCAGCCGCCGCGGUAAUACCGGCGCCUCAAGUGGUAGUCGAUUUUAUUGGGCCUAAAACGUCCGUAGCCUGUUUGGUACAUUCGUGGGUAAAUCAACCAGCUCAACUGGUUGAAUUCUGCGAGCACGGCCAGACUUGGGACCGGGAGAGGUGUGGGGUACGCUCAGGGUAGGGGUAAAAUCCUGUCAUCCUGAGCGGACCACCUGUUGCGAAGGCGCCACACUAGAACGGAUCCGACGGUCAGGGACGAAGCCUAGGGGCACGAACCGGAUUAGAUACCCGGGUAGUCCUAGGUGUAAACGCUGUGGACUUGGUGUUGGGGAUGAUCCGAUCAUUCUCAGUGCCGAAGCGAAGGUGAUAAGUCCACUGCCUGGGGAGUACGGUCGCAAGGCUGAAACUUAAAGGAAUUGGCGGGGGAGCACCGCAACCUGAGGAUUGUGCGGUUUAAUUGGAUUCAACGCCGGA